rnacentral:rRNA from 1 species
CUGUGGUUAAGUUAAUAAGGGCACACGGUGGAUGCCUUGGCGUUAGGAGCCGAAGAAGGACGCAGCGAACUGCGAUAAGCCUCGGGGAGUGGUAAGCACACUUUGAUCCGGGGAUUUCCGAAUGGGGGAACCCACCAUCU